AUCUAACGGACGAGUCCCAAAUAGAAUGAAACGAGUGUCUUAGAU
rfam:Schistosoma haematobium scaffold1082_5, whole genome shotgun sequence.